UACGUAGGGUGCGAGCGUUGUCCGGAAUUACUGGGCGUAAAGAGCUCGUAGGUGGUUUGUCGCGUUGUCCGUGAAAACUCACAACUCAAUUGUGGGCGUGCGGGCGAUACGGGCAGACUGGAGUACUGCAGAGGAGACUGGAAUUCCUGGUGUAGCAGUGAAAUGCGUAGAUAUCAGGAGGAAUACCGAUGGCGAAGGCAGGUCUCUGGGCUAUAACUGACGCUCAUGCACGAAAGCGUGGGGAGCAAACAGG
rnacentral:rRNA from 1 species